CACUAAUUCAAUGGCAUCCAUCUUGCGUUUAAAACUUCAACACAUCAAUUUAGUGUUAAAGCCACUUCAUAGAUAUAUAUGGAUAUGUAUAUAUAAAAAUUUUGAAAGCAUCAAAUUAUAUAAUGAAGAAACAAACCUUCGGAAUAAAAUUGGAAAGACUGAUGAGAAGCAUCAAUAGCAACAGAGACUGGACCUAUAGUAGCAACUGCUGCUUUAAGCUUUUUCUCAUUACCUUGAGGAAUGUCUACAUAACCAACAUCACGGGCACCACUAUUUGCUGCGUUAUAUCUACACAUUAUGAAAUAAUUAAUCAUAG